rnacentral:rRNA from 1 species
GAUGAACGCUGGCUACAGGCUUAACACAUGCAAGUCGAGGGGAAACGACGGGGAAGCUUGCUUCCCCGGGCGUCGACCGGCGCACGGGUGAGUAACGCGUAUCCAACCUGCCUCUGACUGAGGGAUAACCCGUCGAAAGUCGGCCUAAUACCUCAUGGCAUCGUCUGCGGGCAUCCAACGACGAUUAAAGAUUUCAUCGGUCAGGGAUGGGGAUGCGUCUGAUUAGCUUGUUGGCGGGGUAACGGCCCACCAAGGCUACGAUCAGUAGGGGUUCUGAGAGGAAGGGCCCCCACAUUGGAACUGAGACACGGUCCAAACUCCUACGGGAGGCAGCAGUGAGGAAUAUUGGGCAAUGGGCGGGAGCCUGAACCAGCCAAGUAGCGUGCAGGAGGACGGCCCUAUGGGUUGUAAACUGCUUUUAUGCGGGGAUAAAGUGAGGGACGUGUCCUUCAUUGCAGGUACCGCAUGAAUAAGGACCGGCUAAUUCCGUG